rnacentral:lncRNA from 1 species
AGAAGAGAGCGUGAGAGGAUGAGGAAUGAGAGAAAUUUCUCAUUUACUCCCAUACAUAGCUCUAUGGGUUGCAAAAAUACAAAUAAACCCCUCAACUUUCACUUUAAUACACUGCCUGGACUGGGCAGAUUUCGUGCUCGGGGACCGGUCUCCCCGACUUGGGACCGGUCCCAGAGAGCUCUCCCCGCGAGUAGCAGGGCGCACGCGCAACGCAACCGAUCUCUCACUGGGGGACCGGUCUCUCGGGGACCGGUCUCUCCCCGCAGGGACUGGUUCCCAAGAGCUACUUUCUGGGACUUAGCCGAUUUUUCGGCUGUCUCAUUUCUCACGCGUUCGGGGACCGGUCUCUCCCCGCAGGGACCGGUCCCCGAGAGCUGAAAAUAUGCAGUUUGCAGAAUUUAAUUCUUUAGCUCUCUAAAACCUCCUACAACACACUUUUGAUCAUUUUAACA